UGGUCUCUGACACUUCAAGGUGCCCUAAGCGGUGUCACACAUUUUUUAGGUUACAACAGUUUUUGUCACAUACAGUAAACAUCUCCUCACUAUUCUCUAGCUGCCUGUCCCCU